GUAGAUAUGAAAGAAAUGCUACGCAUGCGUUUAUUUAAUAUUAUAAAAGUAAUAAAUAAUGAUAAUCUGGCCUUUGUUACCUAACAAAAGAUUUAAAAAGACUGUAGAAUGAUUGGCAUAGAAAAAAGUAUACCGAUUAGAGAGCCUAACGAUUGAGAAGAAACUGUAAAGGAAUCCAUCAUCUAAUUUGGUUAUUUGUUCACGCUAAGGAAACGUGUCUAAAUCCACUCAUGAAAACUAUGUUGGUUUUCCUGGACUAGAAGUGUACGGGGCUCUAUAGCGUAACAUCAGUCAAACAAAGCUUAACUACAAUUCAGUUCAGAUUACGCUGACCUAAUGAGCGGAACAAAAUGUAAUUAUUCAUAAAGCUUUUGAAAGGCUCACAAAUGCCAAUGAUUUAAACACAUUGAUGGUUCAAUUCAACUUGCUUUCUCAUGUAGGUAUACAAUGUGCCUGUCCUGAGAAUUCAGCGAGAGCUCGACCAUAUGGGGUCAUUUAAGUCCUGCAGACUCGUCGGACUUUGCCAGCUAACAGGAUAUUGAAAAGCAUAUUUCAAGGAAGAACUAAGAAUAGCUUGGGUUCUAUGGAUUUCCAGUUAAAUAUUGACUCGUGAACUCAAUUUAUAUAUGAAAGUAAUAUUUUGAAACCGAACAACCGUAACCAAAUAAUUGUUUGAUAGUUAUAAGUAAUAAAUAAAUAAAUAAAAAGUACAAAAUCCAAAGGAGGCGAGUAAUGGGAUCAUCGAAGAUAGAUCCAUAAUCUGUGGCUUUCUGUUUGACGAUGCUGAAUCACAUUUCUACCAAUAAAUCAUAAUUUAUUACUGGUGUAAACCAAUGUUAAUUUUAGAAUUCAUAACCUUUUGCACAAGAUUGUAAGUGCGAAUCAAAAUUUUAAGUAACUUAUUUUAAAUAGAUUAUGUGUAAUUACCUAUGUAGAAUAGUACCGUGGCGUUAGUAAUGGUUCGUUUUUGUGUACAAUCCAUUGAUUCAUGGGGGUUCCUUUUGAUCCAAUCUUAGUGCUGUUCGAAGCUACAGCAACAAAAGCAAAAGUCACCAUGAGCCUGAACCCGCAGUAUCAGCCUUCUGAUCCUGAUCUUCUCGGCAGGACGCGGUUCCGAUUAAGGUGGUGGAUGAACUCGCGAUGCAGCUGUCCUUGAGCAGUUAGGCCUCCUCCGGUGGCACUAGAGCUGUUGUUAUUAGAAAUUCGCCUUCAGGCUGAGCCCUCGAGGUCCCCGUUCAUCCUGACUAAGCACCAAGGUCUCUGGACGAAUGGUGAUCGUUCAACCCAAAAAUAAUAAUUACUGACAAGUGGUUUGUGGUUAGCAAAUCUAGUAUUGAAAUAUAUUCUAUGUGAUCAUAACACCUAUACUCUUAAUCAUGUAAUAAUUUUAAUAUGUACUUCAAAAAAUGUAUUUAGUUUACCAUAAUAAUAUUCCUCCAUUUCUAUCAAAAAAAUUGAACCUUUAACAUUGUAGAUGACUUUUCAAUUUGAAGUAAAACUUCUAUACGCGCUUUGAAAGUAAAAUUUACUGUAUAAGUAAAAGUAAAAGUAGAGAAAAGUUACUGCUUACGGGCGGUGGCCACUAGAUGGUUGGUUAUUAGUUUCUCAUUGCUUCUGUAGAUGGUGUAACAUAUUAACGAUCUUAAAUUUUAUUUAGCUUAGCGACAUCUAUUGUGUUUCAUAUAAACUACUACAUUGCAAGGCCAACGGUGUGAACAGUUUAGUUUCUAAAAUAUUUACAGAGAGAGGUAUUUUAAAUAAAAGUAAUGUUUUAAAUUAUCACUAAAAAUAUUAUUAAAUAUAUCGUUCGGAAUUUUAUAUGUGCUGUGAAAAUACUGUGCAAAAUUUAUUGUAAAAUUUAUGUAACACAAUUUUAUGUAAGUAACAUCAUCACGUUGGAUUUGAAUUUUGAAUAUUU